rnacentral:rRNA from 1 species
CGUAGGUGGCAAGCGUUGUCCGGAUUUAUUGGGUUUAAAGGGUGCGUAGGUGGCCCUGUAAGUCAGUGGUGAAAUAUCUCAGCUUAACUGAGAGGGUGCCAUUGAUACUGCAGGGCUUGAGUACAGAUGAGGUAGGCGGAAUUGACGGUGUAGCGGUGAAAUGCAUAGAUAUCGUCAAGAACACCGAUAGCGAAGGCAGCUUACCAAGCUGUAACUGACACUGAGGCACGAAAGUGUGGGGAUCAAACAGGAUUAGAUACCCUGGUAGUCCACACUGUAAACGUUGAUGACUCGAUGUUGGCGAUACACAGCCAGCGUCCAAGAGCAAUCGUUAAGUCAUCCACCUGGGGAUACGCCGGCAACGGUG